AUAAUUGCUGGAGCUUCUCAUUAUGGCUGAGGCCUGAAACGCAGGUUGACUGCAUGGCAUUGAUUGCUCACGUGAUUAUCUUGAAAAAAUAUUUCCAGAUCCGAGCACCCAUGAAGAAAAGAUGGCAGCAUAAUGGCUGGAGAACUCUAUCGCCCCUUUGAGUCUUGAGAGGUGCAUGCAAGCUGCUUUCGGCGGCCCCCGGAGAGAAGAGCGAAGCGCGGAGGGCGAGGCAUCCCGAAAUAUGAGGAUAAAUCGCAGAGUCGAGAGUCUUUUGGAUGGGCAGCAUCUGUCAGACUUCGACGCAGGCCAGGAAAACACUCCCCACCCGAGCCGGAUGUACAGCACAGUCGUAUUGCAGGAAAAAGAUCAACAGUGGCACACGGGUGUGUGAAGUGAACAUGACUUCUAUUGCAUGAGGUCGACUCGAGAAACAAAACGUGAUGUCAUGAAUGUCUCUUGAACACACAACAGAAGUGGGUUUGAUUUAUACUAUACUUUCAAACAUAACAAAUAAAC